UCAAGCCGGGCAGGUUGCAGGUGAGGGGUCAGACAAAAGGCAGUACUUUAAUAAAUGAAGAGUUCUAUUCCAAAACGCUAUAACAGCAUUUAAAAGCCAUUUCCUUUUUCAUGACUAACAUAACCAUGACUGCAGAACCGUAUACUGUAUAUCACACCCUUCUCAUGCAUGCCUCAACACCCUAGCACUUGUUUUCUGCGCACACACACACACCUGACUGCAGCACUUUAUAUAUUCACAUUUCUCAUGCAUUCCUCAAUACUCACAACUCCUCACACCACAUUUUCAUCAACAUGGAACUGCUUACUUUCCACUCCUUUUAUACCCAGCACAUGGCACCUCCAUCCCCACCCAACAUACACACACACACUUCACUGCCAACCAACCACUAUACCCAGCCUAAAACACACAUACUCACUCCACUGCCAUCACUGUUCAAUUUCGAAUAUUUUUGGAAACGAAUAUAUAGCGUUUUGGAAAAGAGCUUUUUAAAUUUUAAUGAUCUUCUUUGGCUUAAUUUUUCCAGAUUCCUGCUUGCCCAGUAACUCUGAUUGACUUCUCUUCAGCAAAGUCAAAAAAACGAAAGCUUGAGUGUUCCAUUGAUGGCUGCACAAGUACACAAAAGUUAUGGAUGCAAACAUGAAGCACAAGCCAGAGGAGCAUAUGAGAAGCUUAUGAGCCAGGAGCAUGCAGGCUUCUCAUGUAUGGACAGCGGUCUCUGGCUGAACCCCAAGUGGCCAUACAUGGGGUCCUCCCCUGAUGGGAUAGUCACUUGUGACUGUCAUGGAACUGGCAUCUGCGAGAUUAAGUGCCCACACUCUCAGAAAGAUGCGGUCAACCUGCGCAUGCGUGCUGGGGAGAAGGGCUUCUGCCUCAUCAGUGACGGGGAUAAUGUCACACUGGACCCAACUCAUGACUACUAUUACCAAAUUCAGGCACAGCUUCACAUUGCAAAUGCAGAGUACUGUGACUUUGUUGUGUGGAACCGCAAUGACAUAUUUGUUGAAAGGAUUUUGCCUGACCUUGAGUUUUGGGAUGAUGCGAUUCCUAAAGUUGAGUGUUUUUUUAGAAACAGUAUACUCCCAGAAAUACUGGGACAGCAAGUUACAAACAUACAUGUGUAAUGUGAUAAAAGGACGACAACAUAAUGACAUUUUGAAUAUUGUUAUGACCUGAUGGUAGUCAUUAUGAGUUCU